AGUAAAAUAAAAACAUUUAGCUAAGAGGUAGCUACUAUUACGUUGGUGAUAUAUCAUCAAUACGAAACAGGAUUAUUUUUUUUGCUAUUGCGCCUAUGUUUAUUGGAUGUAUGGCAGACAUUUUGUUAUCGAUAGCAAUGAUCUCACGUUAUAAAUCUCAGUCAAUUAAGUAUUAGUAUAUCCUUUAACAAAUAUUGUUCGAAAUCAUGGUUAGAUUAUGCAUACAUAAUAAUACAAUUAUUCUACUAUGCAGUACUUCUGGACACAGCGCAUAUUGUCCGGAAAUUCCUCUCUCUUGAGCCGCGGGAGCUUGGAUUUAUCCCGUUAUUGGUGGGCUACUUCUUUUUAUAUUUUUAAAUGUUUUAUUUUAAUUUAAUAUUAAAAAAUGUAAUAAACAAAUGUAAUAAAUAAAUAAAUGAUCAUUCUACUAAAAUUACAUAUUUUAUAAGUAAAACGUCAUAAAUUUUUUUAGGUAGUAGGUAGGCAGAGGUGCACAUUAUGGCACGUAAAGAGUGACACUAUACAUAUAGCUAAUUAUCCGUCCUAAGUAUGCAAAGAAGAAAAUAAAGAGUAGUACAGAAACAGUGGCUUUUAUAAUACUAAAUUAUGUAUUUUUCAACCAAGCCAUAUUUUCUGGAACCAUUUGAUUGGUUCACUAUCUAACCAAUGGUUUUGGUCUACGGACGGCGAGCAAGGGUAGCUUGCCGCCCGACCAGAAACAGACCCGUGCGUACGGCGCGUCGCGUUCUUCGCGCGCCUUAAAGAGAUGGUGCCGAGUAGGGCUAAUACCUGAUCCGGAACUGAAGAUUACCUAGCGGGUUCAAAAAGCAGGAGUAGGAACGGGAUAGUUUUUAGUCAGUAAGAGUCUGACACUCCCUCUCGCCUCGCCCAAGGCGGGAGAAGUCAUUGGAUGAUUUUAACUCAAAUAGCAAUGACGCAGUACAGUGAAAAGCACCUUCAUUUACAAUCGCAGAUCGUUGAUUUUAGUUCUAUAAUUAAUAGAAAUUAUGUAGGCGUCUAGCUUGUUUGGUUAUUAGGUUCACUCAAAAUAUUUUAUUUAAAAAUGUAUAUGUAUUAUCCAAUACUGAAUGAGUGAUUGACUGGCUAACAGACAACGUAAGGCCGAAACUACUGGACUUAGAAAGCUAAAACUUAGCAUAUAUGUUUCUUGAUGAGAGUAGGGGUAGUACUAAGAGAAGAUUUUCUUAAAUUCCUAUUUUUGACUAAGAUGUCAAUGGCAGAAGCUGGUAUAAUAAUACUUUUUGAAGUAUAAGUAUAUAAGAAAGCUAAGAUUUUUUUUAAACAAAAACUAGGUACUGGAGGCGUUGUGUAUUUCAGAUUUGUGGCGAUACAUGAAAAAUAUUGUGGAUUCGGUUUUAAAAAACAAACAGCUUGUUCAAUUACUGUUGGGGCCUCAUAUUCUUUACAGUAAGUAAUACCAGGCAACUAAAUAUUUUGUAAAAAGUCCUAUUACUAAAAAUUGUUUGGUUAGUUUCAUUGUUUUUCCACUGAUCUCAAAAAUAUAGGUGCCAAAUUAAAUUGUUUGCAGACAUACCUACAUUCGAAACAUUUGCAAAAAAUAGCUUACUGUAACUAGAGAGUAUUUAAAUUUCCUUUCACCUACACCUUAACAUGUGCUUAACUAGUGUUUGUUGCUAAAGUGCCCAAAGUAGGCGCAAUUGUUAUAGCUCAAGAAUACACGAUGCGUGUCGAUGAUGUGUUAAGACAACUGAACAAAUAUUGUUUUAUUACAGUUACAAGCGACCCAGAAGAAGUCAGGAUUAUUGCUAACACAUGUUUGGACAAGCCAUAUUUUUACAAUUUCUUAGUUGAUGGAAUAGGAAAUGGACUGAUAACAACAGAUGGUAUAAUGAAACUUAAUGAAUUCGAAUUAUGUUCAGUCCUAUUUGUAAGAAAGAUAAAUCUACUAAUGUGUGAUAUUUUAGGGGCAAUGUGGAAGAUACAUCGUAAACUUAUUAAUCCAGCAUUCAGUCAAUUAGUACUAAACACAUUUUCUUCAUUCACAGUACUAAACGCCCGAAAUGAACGCGCAAGCUCGAAACCUAAUCUCACAAUUAACUGUCAUGGCGGGUAAAGGACCAGUUGAUGUCAAAGAAUGUUUAAAUAAAUAUAUUCUAAGAACAGUUUGUCGAACAUCACUAGGACUUGACGCUAAAGAUCAAGACAUGAUUGACCGCGAAUAUGCAAGAACUAUCGACGAAUAUGCGAAAAUAAUAUGUAGUCGAUGUUAUAAUGUGGGAUUACAUCCGUCAUUGAUAUACAAUUGGACUACAUUGAGAAGUAAAGAAUUAAAAGUAGUCGAAGAUAUCAAGAAUAUUAUAAAUCCUAUAAGCGUGUAUAGUAUCUAACCCAUUGUAAAGUCUGAAAACCUAUACAUGAGUCACUUAUGGCUUUUUUCUAAAGGGGGGAAAAUCAUCCAAUAACUUAUCUUGCCUUGGGUGAGGUGAGAGGGACUGUCAGACUCUUACUGACUAAAAAACACCCUGAUCCUUUUCCUACUUUAUGUCUUAGCCCCGGUAACGCGUUAUGUUGCCCGCAGCUCUAGACGUUGUCCGCAGCUCCGAUGAUGUCUAGGUCUAUAGGUAUUCAUUAUUUUAAUCUUCAUCAUCAUCAUCAUCAUCAUCAGCCGAGAGACGUCCACUGCUGAACAAAGGCCUCCCCCUUGGUCCUCCACGUAGAACGACAAGCCGCCACCUGCAUCCACUGGCUCCCCGCCACUCUGAC